GUCUUACACAAAGAUGUUGAUUCAAGUCAAAUAUCAUUUUGUGAUGAAGCUAAUGAUCAUAUUUACAAUUUUCAAAAUAUGUACACAUUACAACUGUGUUUUUUUUUUUAUCUUAUAUGUUUGAAAUGACAUUACAUUAGAAUGGUUCAUACUCUCUUUCAUCAAAAACACAAUUUCUAAACCUUCCAGCAUGCCAUAUUCAAGAUGCAAUUCCAGUGGUGGAAAUGAAAAGAAAAUGGGCAAGAGAUUCACAACUUAUAACAUUCACCCAAAUAUUGAGG
rnacentral:lncRNA from 1 species